AUAAAUAGCUGUUCCUCCAGGAUUCUGUGAUUGUUUUAGUGCUUUUUUUCUGCAACCAAAAUUACAUAUUUUGUGGUGCCAAUUUAGAAAUUAGGAAGGAAUUAGGAAUUUUUAUGACAUUUUAGCUAAUGUAUGAUAUGAAAUGUGACUUUUUAUUACAUACCAUAUCAAUUAUGGACUAUAACUCGACAUCAAGUAAGGCUGCCGUCACUUAAACUCAAUGUUUUUGACCAAUUUUGAGAAAAUUUGCACUAAAAAUCAGAAGAAGAAAAAAUGCGGAGAUUUGUUGAUUUUGUGUGAAUUUUGCAGAUUUGUGAAAAACUGGAAGAACGUAUUGAUGUAAUUUUGGAGUCUAAAGGGCCACAGAAAAUGCUACGGCGGGCCAGAUUUGGCCCCCGGGCCUUGAGUUUGACACAUGUGCUAUAAAGGGACCCAUCUGGUCCGGCCAGUGGGGGGUAGGUUGAGUCAACCACAUGGGCCCCAUCCAGGUCGCCUUGUGACUAUGCAGAAUCUGAACGGGUCCAGUCACACAUGUCAGAUCCGUGUUCAGGUCCGGUUCGGUCCCAGACCGGGACGAAAGAAACUGAGGAAUCCGCUGAUGUGGGAGCCGAAGCCACUUUUCCUCAUCUGUCUUUGAUUUUCCGUUUUCCAGGGGAAAACGUGGCUUUUGUUUAAAACCCAGUUGCGAAACUCUUGAGAGCAAAGUUUUCACAAAGCAGUUGCACAACCGGCUCUUAAUUAACUUUCCUCCUGUCGGCCAACAUGUUGCCUUAAGGGUUAAAAGCUGCUUUUCCUUCCCUCACUCCUUAUUUUCCAGUAGAAUCGUGCAUCUUGUCAUUUGAGUCUGGUUUUAGAUGCAGAUGUUCGACUUGCUCCUCCAUGUUUGCUUCUUGCAGAAAGACAGAGGAGGUGAAGGAGCGUGUAGUACCGGUGGUGACCAGCCAGGGGCAGCACAGAGCAACUUCAGCGACAAAUAACAGGAGAAAAAGAGUCCUGGGGAUAAUCAAUACCAUCUUUUAAUAUUUUCUUUCUUUGUCUUUCCUCUGUAGUGAAUCCUGGAAGGUGACGGAUGUUUUCAGUCAACAUCCUGCUGCAGGAAGUCCUUCUGCUCCUGUUGUGACCUUUAACCUUUCUAACUGCAGGUUGCCUCACAGCUGCAGGACACCAAGCAGCUUCACGGAUCCCACAUGGAGCGGUUCUGAUUCUGGUUCUGGUUCUGGUUCUGCUCUCCUGCAGAGCAGCUCUUCUGUCUCUGGAGAAAAAUGAAUCUUCACAUCAGAGCCACCGUUUCUCUGCUGCUUCCAGCGAGUUUCAGCCUCGUUCUGGGUCCGACUGUGAUGAGCUGGAUCUGAUCAGAUCACCUGGUUCUGGUUCAGUUGUCACCCCCGGACCCGAGCCGUUGGACCUGGCCACACUCGGUCCUCGGGGUAAUCUGCUCCGCUCUGCCAUAUUUGGGCCUUUAUGAGGUGAAGACAUGAUGGCUGCCAGCAAACAUCUGGUUCUGUGUAGAACCUUCACAAAGUACUGGACCCGCUCAGCAGCCGCAGACUGAUCGGGUUUUAUGUGAUGGACAAACAGCUCAGCGCAUCGAUUUAAACUGAAGCAUGAACUGACUGGAGUUACCAAAAGAAUCGAAAGCAGACGCGUUUCGUGUGGUUGCCAUGGGAACGGGCCCUGGGCAUUCAGACACAAACCUCCACCAGAUGUUCUGGUUCUGGUAUCAGAUGUCCUUCAGAGAACAACCAGCAUCAUGAAGACCAGUGAAACUUUUGCUCGUUGAUCCCAGGAUCUCUGGUUCCUCCAUCUUGACAUCACGUGACCCCAGUGACCCCUGUGACCCCUGCCUGCGUCCAGGCGUCCUCAGCAGGAAGCCAUCUUGCUCUGGGCUUAUUCACAGCAGCGUGUAUUUCCAGAGCUGACCCUCAUCUGCGGAGCCGUGAUGACGGAGGGAAGGAGAACCCAGCAGGAAGCAGGACAGGCGGGAAGAGCGGAGCAGGAAUGAAGAGAGACGACUCGGGACAGAAAACAUCCCGAGCUCCUCCAGAGAAUUUCCUCUGAUUUGUUUUCCCAUAAGUGUUGAGAGGAGAGCUCUGACAGCGAAGAGCAGAUGUUGGACCGUAAACAUGAGCCGCGCCGGCGUCAGACAGAAAACUGACCCCAGAGGUCAAACAGGGACGACCUUCUGGGAUCAGCCGCCUUCAGACGAACAGCCAUUUCAUUCUUCAGUAAUAAAACAUGAUCACAGGGACGGAGGCGUCGGCACAGUUUGAGGUCCAGGUGGAACAAAACGGAUCAGCAUCAUGUAAACUCAUAACUUCCAGGCAGCGGCUCUGGACCCGGACUCUGACUGGACGCCGGUCGGUUCUGGAACCGGACCAGCUCAGACGGAGCAGCAGAACCUCCUGAACCUCCUCUCAUUUUAAAUUCUGAUUAAAAACCAAACUGUGAUUGAUUGGUUCUCUUCUGGACAUUAAACACAUGGUUUGGUAUUUCUGGGGUAAAUUAGCAUAAAUUAAAGUAUAAAUAAUGUGGAUGGACA